AUCAUAUCCUCCAAAAUAUUAUCUUUAGAGAAAAAAGAUAGUUUGUUAUUCGUUUCGUUCAUUUUUUAUUAAAAAUAAAUUUAGUUGAAAAGAUUGAGCAACUAGAUUUCAAAUUUGGAAUCUCGAAUGCCAAUUAUUAAAUUUUUUGCCACUUGCACUAGAGAGAGUCAGCUAUAUUGCUCAUAUAUUAAUACAUGUUAGUUGUAGAC
rnacentral:lncRNA from 1 species